rnacentral:rRNA from 1 species
UUCCGUAGGUGAACCUGCGGAAGGAUCAUUACCGAGUGAGGGCCCUUUGGGUCCAACCUCCCACCCGUGUUUAUUUACCUCGUUGCUUCGGCGGGCCCGCCUUAACUGGCCGCCGGGGGGCUCACGCCCCCGGGCCCGCGCCCGCCGAAGACACCCCCGAACUCUGCCUGAAGAUUGUCGUCUGAGUGAAAAUAUAAAUUAUUUAAAACUUUCAACAACGGAUCUCUUGGUUCCGGCAUCGAUGAAGAACGCAGCGAAAUGCGAUACGUAAUGUGAAUUGCAAAUUCAGUGAAUCAUCGAGUCUUUGAACGCACAUUGCGCCCCCUGGUAUUCCGGGGGGCAUGCCUGUCCGAGCGUCAUUGCUGCCCUCAAGCCCGGCUUGUGUGUUGGGCCCCGUCCUCCGAUUCCGGGGGACGGGCCCGAAAGGCAGCGGCGGCACCGCGUCCGGUCCUCGAGCGUAUGGGGCUUUGUCACCCGCUCUGUAGGCCCGGCCGGCGCUUGCCGAUCAACCCAAAUUUUUAUCCAGGUGACCUCGGAUCAGGUAGGAUCC